rnacentral:rRNA from 1 species
CGUAGGUGGCAAGCGCUGUCCGGAUUUAUUGGGUUUAAAGGGUGCGUAGGCGGUCUUGUAAGUCAGUGGUGAAAUACGGCAGCUUAACUGUCGAGGUGCCAUUGAUACUGCAGGACUUGAGUACAGACGAGGUAGGCGGAAUUGACGGUGUAGCGGUGAAAUGCUUAGAUAUCGUCAAGAACACCGAUAGCGAAGGCAGCUUACUAGACUGUAACUGACGCUGAUGCGCGAAAGUGUGGGGAUCAAACAGGAUUAGAUACCCUGGUAGUCCACACUGUAAACGAUGAUUACUCGAUGUUGGCGAUACACAGCCAGCGUCUUAGCGAAAGCGAUAAGUAAUCCACCUGGGGAGUACGCCGGCAACGGUG